rnacentral:rRNA from 1 species
GACAGAGGUGCCAAGCGUUAGGCGGAAUCACUGGGCUUAAAGCGUGUGUAGGCGGAUGUCUAAGUACCUUGUGAAAUCCCACGGCUCAACCGUGGAACUGCUUGGUAUACUGGACGUCUUGAGCCAGCUAGGGGCUACCGGAACAAAUGGUGGAGCGGUGAAAUGCGUAGAUAUCAUUUGGAACGCCAAUGGUGAAAACAGGUAGCUGGGGCUGUGCUGACGCUGAGACACGAAAGCCAGGGGAGCAAACGGG